CAUACCUUUCUCUUCUUGGUCAAAAUUUUAGUUGGAGAUGAAACUUUAACCAUGGCUUCCUAUAACGGCUCUAUCGAAGGCUGUCUGUGGAAAAUUAUCUAAUAUCACAUCUCAAUAAUCGUUAUUUGCUCAACUGGAAACGGGAGAAGCGGUCUUUUCUCAUAGCUGCAUCCAUCUGUGGAGUGGAGAAGUUGAUGCACCUCCUGCUGCAGUUUCUUCCUGUAAAUCUGAUAAGAAAAGUUUCGUACCUUCCUGUGAACUUCGUCUUUUUCUUUACCCAGUUGAUGGAGUAAUUUUACGGUGUUGUAUUGUCUCAGUCUAAUUUUUUAAAUUUUUUUUAAA